rnacentral:rRNA from 1 species
AACGUAGGUGGCGAGCGUUAUCCGGAUUUACUGGGCGUAAAGGGUGUGCAGGCGGGCUGUUAAGUGGUGUAUGAAAUAUCCCGGCUCAACCGGGAGAGGUUAUGCCAGACUGGCAGUCUAGAGAGCGAGAGAGGGACGUGGAAUUCCGGGUGUAGUGGUGAGAUGCGUAGAGAUCCGGAGGAACCCCAGAGGCGAAGGCGGCGUCCUGGCUCGCAUCUGACGCUCAGACACGACAGCAUGGGGAGCGAACGGG